GGCGGCGUGCCUAAUACAUGCAAGUCGAACGGAGUCCAUCCGGUGGUAACACCGGAGAAGACUUAGUGGCGAACGGGUGCGUAACACGUGAGCAACCUGCCCCAAAGACUGGGAUAACACCGGGAAACCGAUGCUAAUACCGGAUACCCCCAUUGGUCCGCAUGGACUGAUGAGGAAAGGAUUCUGCUUUGGGAGGGGCUCGCGGCCUAUCAGCUUGUUGGUGGGGUAACGGCCUACCAAGGCGACGACGGGUAGCUGGUCUGAGAGGACGAUCAGCCACACUGGGACUGAGACACGGCCCAGACUCCUACGGGAGGCAGCAGUAGGGAAUCUUGCGCAAUGGGCGAAAGCCUGACGCAGCAACGCCGCGUGGGGGAUGAAGGCCUUCGGGUUGUAAACUCCUUUCAGUGGGAACGAAAUUGACGGUACCCACAGAAGAAGCCCCGGCCAACUACGUGCCAGCAGCCGCGGUGAUACGUAGGGGGCGAGCGUUGUCCGGAUUUAUUGGGCGUAAAGAGCUCGUAGGCGGCUUGGCAAGUCGGGUGUGAAACCCCCAGGCUUAACCUGGGGACGCCACUCGAAACUGCCAUGGCUAGAGUCCGGUAGGGGAUCACGGA
rnacentral:rRNA from 1 species